CUCUGUGCAGGUUAUAAAAUAGAAAAAAAAAAAAAAAGGUUUGGCUUUCUCUAUCGUUCGUACUCUUCUUCUCUACAACUUCCCAACUCGCCCAGCGCUUGUUCGUGUUCGUUUCAACUUUAACCUCAAGAAGUGAAGAGCCAUAAAAGUUCCUUAUGGCGUACACAUUAAAGGCUUUUAUGGAGGUGGAGGGUCGUAAGAGUCCUUGGGACAACCCUUCUUGGGGGUUGGCUCGUAAGAGUCCUUGGGUGGUGGUUCGUAAGAGUCCUUGUGGGGAGGCUUGUAAGACUCCUUUGGAGGAGGCUUUUGAGGAGGCUUAUAAGGGCUUAUGUGGAGGAGGAUUGUAAGUCUUAUAGGGUGGAGUCUCGUAAGGGUUAUAGGAAGGAAUUCCAAAGCCACUUGGAUACAAUUGCUUCUGAUAAUAAAUUAGCUCGAAAGGCUUCGAUACUAGUGCCGAAGGAGUUCGAUGCUCUUGUCAAACCUCUUCUAAACACCCUUGUAUAUAGAACAAGGAUGAAAGCAGUGGCCUGUGUGCCCUUAAUUCAAAAAAAGUGGUUUCAAUUGAUUAGUUCUACUUCAAACAUAUUAGUUCCCCCACAAUUCGGGUAUGUUCUUUUCCGUACUUUGAUCUUUGUAAUCAUAUGCCAAACUUUUCAUGGGUUUUGCAAUAUCUCGUUUUUUGUUAUGGACAUCUUUCUCUAUCUUAUUCCCAUGGUUACUUUGCUUUUUUCUUUGAGCACUGUGUGUUGAAUACCCAAGAGGCUUUUUAACUUUUGUAUUUUGUAAUUUUUCUUAAUUAUUGGAAGUUGUUUUAUUCACCAAUAUGCUUCUGACUCUCUGCUUUUUUUUUUUUUUUUUGGUCUCUCAAAUGAUCCUUAAAUCUAUCAUCAUGGUUUUGUGGGGAUCUUGGAGUUUAGCAAUGUAUGUUCUCUUUCCUUUUGGAUCUCUGUAAUCUUUGCCCUGUCUUUUUUGUGGUUUCUACAACGCUGUGUAUAUCAUACACUUGAGUUCUUGUUACUGUUUUAUUUAGUUUUAUGUUAUUUCUCUCUGAUAUUGGCUUUGUAUGAUCUUACAUAUAUGUAAUUUUUCUGUAUUCUGCGUUUUGAAAUUUAUUUUUAUUUUUAAUUUUUCCUAAAUUUGUGGUGUUUUUGGUUUUGUUGUUGUCUUGAAUAAGAAUCUUUUGGCAGAGGAGGUCUCCGAUGAAGAGCUUCGUCUACAGUUGCAAUCAGUUGUAGAACAGAAUUCAGCUGUGUUGAUGAGUGUAUAUAUAUAUAUAUAUAUAUAUAAUUUUUGUUGUAGGAACUAUCUUUGAUGGAGACAUGAUGAUUUGGACAAUAAAAAUGGGAUUUACAUUGAUUACUCUAUUUGGUUUUACAUGUUACUGCACAAAUUUUAUUUUUUAAUACUAAAAUUCUAAUAUGGAAAAAUGAAUCCUUGGGGGUUUUCGUAUAAAUUUCUAUGGGAUCAUGUGGGCCCAAUUUUGUUACAGCCUAGCUUCCCUAGCAGAAGCUAUUGUUAGUGAAUUAGAUGUUUGGAUGAAAAUAAAAUUUUGACAUUUUAGGGUAGCUUUGCAACUUUAUAAAAGAAUUGGAGGAUAUUAUUGGAAAGAAAUAUAUUCAUUAAAGGAAAUUUAACAUUUUAAAAGUUUUAUGUUUAGCAGCUUGUAGGAGUUUUGAAUUUUGGUUUCUCUAAAUCGGUUUAAAAAAGCUCUUUUUUGUUCUAUAAAUACGCUUUUGUUGACCAUGUAGCCAAACAAGUAAAAAAAAGAAGAAGAAGCUGUAUUCUAUGCUAUAUAAUAUUUUUACUUCAUAUUUUGAUUGUGCUGUUUUUAUUAUUUUUUAUUCUAUACUAUAUAAUAUUCUUACUUCAUAUUUUGAUUGUUGUGGUUUUUGUUUUACAAGGGUAAGAUAUGUGUGAAUUCAUUGGUUGAACGAUUGAAUCGCUUCAAUGAAAUCUGUAGUAAGCUGAAGGAACUGCAAACGGCCACUGAAAUUUUUAAAAAGGAAAAUGAUGGCCUUAGGGCAAUUUUUACUAGGUUGAAGGAACUACAAGCGGCCUUUGAAAUGCAAAAAAUGGAAAACAAGCGCGUCAGGUUUAUUUGUAAUGUGCUGAUUCAACUAGAACCGAACUUUGAAAUGCAAGAAAAGGUGCAGGUUAGAGCCGGAAUACAAAACCUAGAGUUCUGAAAGUUAUCACUUAUCCCUGCAUUAAAUAUCCAAAUAUUAGGAUUGCAACUGUCUUACUAUUAUUUGCACCGCAGCUAUCAUGGAUAUCUCAGUUUGGAAUUUUCGUAUUGAUAUUUUAUUUUUUGAAAUUAGCGUUAUUAUUAUUAUAUUAAUCCUCAAGUAUAAUUUUUC